AUACCAAGAGUGCAAUACAAAUGUCAAAAAGAAUUUCGAUCCUGUGACUGAAGAAACAAAGAUGGUAACUGAAGCACUGGAGAACAAAUUUUUAUCUCAAUGACCACAGUUGCCUGAACUGUAACUUUCUCCUGACUAAUCACACUAUUAUGAUCAUAGCAAUAUGAGGGCAGAUGUUCUCUAGUAAUGACAUAGGAUUCCUUUCUUCUGUAUGUUUUCGUAGCAUAAUCUAUUCUUCCACCUGUAUCUUUGACCUAAACUGGAUGUUACUCCAGUGAGAAUUUCUUGUGAUAAUGCACAUGACUUCAUCCAUG
rnacentral:misc_RNA from 1 species